CCUGAGACGCUCCUCCUCUGCUUUCAAUCUGAACGGACAGACCCGAGGGAGGGAAGCAGAGUCAGAGCUGUGAGAACAUAUACUCAGCGCAGCCCUCUUCUGAGCCAUGUUGUCCUCGGCCUUCCCAUCCUCCUGAGCCGUGAGGGAAACAGAGCCAGUCAAGUUCCACAGCUUCGGGUGCCGAGGUUUCCAUCAACAAAAGACAUUGAGGUCGACCUCUUCAUAUCUCCUGCAGAAGAAUGAAUAAAGAAGAAUGCAAGCAGUCUCGGUUUCACAAAAGACGGCUUGACCACCUCAAACCACCAAAACAGCUCUGCCAUGAACACCAGCAGGUGUCUCUGUUGACCCCCACAGAUACCAGUAAUAUAUUUAUCUUCCAGUCUGCGUAUAAAUAAUUCACCAACCUCGCUCCAUUUCAGAGAAUCCUCUCAAGAACUAGAUCAAACUACAGUGCAGCAUUUUAUGAGGGAAUAUAUCUUUAACAGGCUUGAGUGAGGUUGAUUUCAUUUCAUUGUUGCCUCCCUGACUCCACAGAGAGACUAACAGGUAACGAGACAACAUGGUAACAUGGCUUUUCACAUGCUAGGGAUAAGCCAAUCAUCCACUUAGUAAAUAAUGUCAGUAGACCUGUGGUAGUUGAGAGGAGCAUUAACCUAAUUUAUAGAUUAUUUUUAAUUUAUAAAAAGGUCAGAUUUGUUUUUGUUCAGCAGGUAAACCACCAGCCAGCCUGAAUUAGACAGAUGAGAACUGUUGGAGGCAUUUUCUCCAUUGCUGUGCUGUGUCAUGUCAAAUCAUUAAUCAGGUCAACGAACAGUAGGAGGUCAAGCCUCUACUGAGGACUGUGUACUGCAUAAAUACCCACCUGACAUAGUCACUGUACCCAUGAGGUUUCUUAUGAAUAUUAUGCUUAUUUUCUAAGUAAAGAUGUUUGAAAUGUGAGACUAUAACAUUUGUUUUGUAGAGUAACACUAAAGUAAAAGAGUAAUGAAAAAAUGUCACAUAGUUUGUGCUUUAUGCAAGUGCUGUAACUCAUAUCUUUGCUAUCAUGUGUGAAAUAGU